UACUUGGAUGCUCUGCAGAUGAACUUAAUGAGCUAAAAUCCCAGGAUGGAGAAAAUUCUUAUCAAAUGAAAUUGAAGGAAGCUACAUGGAUUCCACACUUGUUUCGAGUUAGCGUUACUCUACAAGAGUACAACAAUGAGAAAAGGCAGCGGAUAACUAUCAGAGCUGUUGCUCCUGUGGAUUAUGCAACAGAAUCGUCGUCUUUGAUUGAACAAAUAUUGAAGAUGAAAAUCUCUAAAGUAGAGUAGCACGGCGUUUCGACUGUGCUUUUUAGUAGCAGUUUUUGGUUUAGAAACCUUGAUGAAUGCUAUGUUUAUUAGGAUUUUGAUAGUAUUGGUUAUUGCCAAUGCUUGUAAUAUAUGGCAUUAAUUUCUUGAUCAUUCGUUGGUGCA